rnacentral:rRNA from 1 species
AACGAACGCUGGCGGCAGGCUUAACACAUGCAAGUCGAACGCGUGCAGCAAUACACGAGUGGCGCACGGGUGAGUAACGCGUGGAUAUCUGCCUUUUGGUUCGGAAUAACCCCGGGAAACUGGGGCUAAUACCGGAUGGUUCCUACGGGAUAAAGAUUUAUCGCCAAAAGAUGAGUCCGCGUACGAUUAGCUAGUUGGUGAGGUAAUGGCUCACCAAGGCGACGAUCGUUAGCUGGUCUGAGAGGACGAUCAGCCACACUGGGACUGAGACACGGCCCAGACUCCUACGGGAGGCAGCAGUGGGGAAUAUUGGACAAUGGGGGCAACCCUGAUCUAGCCAUGCCGCGUGAGUGAUGAAGGCCUUAGGGUUGUAAAGCUCUUUCAGCUGGGAAGAUAAUGACGGUACCAGCAGAAGAAGCCCCGGCUAACUCCGUGCCAGCAGCCGCAGUAACAC